CUCCUCUAGUCCCUCAGCAGCGUACAUGUAUGCGGAAGAAUCGAGAUUGUACCACGCAGUGAAAAAUCGAUAAUAGGAAAAACGAAACGAGGAAGGAAGUUGUUACACCAUGACGACCGAUAUUUCCGUUUGGAACAGCAUCGGCAUAGACGAAAACGCGGAAUAAAAGUUCCACCAGCCGGAAGUAACAGCCGUUACGCUAUUAUCUAUCUCGUUUUUCAUCCACACAUGUUUUGAUGCAGAUGUGAAUGUGAUCCAGCUAUAUUACAUGCAUUGCUCAAGUAAUGUUAGAAGCUUCAUAUUUGUUCUAACUAUAUCAUGCGGAUCGAAACUGAAACGCCCAUUACAAGGGUGACCGCCGCACCCUUGAGUACAGGGGUUCGAUGCAUCGUGCAGGAAACCAUACGUAGUUGGAAAGGAAAUAUCUAACACUGAAGGGGAUGUGUUCCAUCGAAAGCAAAGGGGCUUCUUUGUGAAAUCCGCUACCGAGAAAUUCAUGAAUCAACAUACGAAUUUUUAACUAAUUAUAAAAUAUAAACUUACUUUUUCGGAAUAUUCAGCAUUAAAAACCUUAUUGUAAA